rnacentral:rRNA from 1 species
UCCUACGGGAGGCAGCAGUAGGGAAUCUUCCACAAUGGGCGAAAGCCUGAUGGAGCAACGCCGCGUGGGUGAAGAAGGUCUUCGGAUCGUAAAACCCUGUUGUUAGAGAAGAAAGUGCGUGAGAGUAACUGUUCACAUUUCGACGGUAUCUAACCAGAAAGCCACGGCUAACUACGUGCCAGCAGCCGCGGUAAUACGCAGGUGGCAAGCGUUAUCCGGAUUUAUUGGCGUAAAGGGAACGCAGGCGGUCUUUUAAGUCUGAUGUGAAAGCCUUCGGCUUAACCGGAGUAGUGCAUUGGAAACUG